AGGGUCCACAAGCCAAGGCAUGGGGUAGCUUCUAGAAGUUGGACAAGGAUCCUUGAGAAUAAUAGCAUAGGAGAACUACAGCAGAGGAAAACAAGCCUAUUUUAUCAUUAGCUGGCUGAUAUCCUGGACUCUAAUGAGGAGUCCCUGGUAUACACAUCUCAAGUAAGGUCUUCUUCACUUCUCUCUGGGCCCUGAGACCAUUGGGAAGGACUGACUGAGCAAAAGAAACAGGUCACAUAGUCAACCUUGAGCCAAAUUAGUGACUAGCCUUAGGAAUGAAGAUAAGAGGGAAAAAAAAGAGCACCUCCCAUGAGACUUUGAAAGUGCAACCUAAUCAAUAUCCCAGUGUGAGACCACGCCUGCUCCUCGCCCUCAUCCCCCUCUUCUGCUUCACCAAAUACCGAAUCAGGAGACUGGAUUAGCCUGGUCAUAUCGUCAUUGCGCUCUGUCAGCUUCUAAUUUGAAAACAAGUGAAUAAGGAUACCAACCUUUAGGACUAUAUCAUAGGAAAAAUUAACCCAUUCAAUAAUAAUCAAAAUAAGGCAUACCAUCACACCACUAGAAGCCUCUUCCAACAACUCAAUGAAUCUUGAUUUUAAUUGUUUUAAACAUGUCCAUAAAUUAAAUUGAUAACUUAUGAGCGACUUCACAGUUUCUAGAUUUUCUGCUACGCUAUUUCCUGAGAUUAGCAUGAAUAAUACGAUAUGCAUGUGCUCCCAUGGAUACAGAUUUACAUUUUUCUAAUUCAGUAGUUCAAAAUAACAAAGACUUCAGCAGAAGCCAAAAAUGAAGCCUUCGUGACAUACCUCCUGUCAUUUCUCCUCUGGUCGUGACUAUCUAUUGUCACUUCAGUGACUCUCAAACAGGGCCUCCACAGAGGGCUCAGCCACUGUGUAAGCAGCUGAUGAUACUCCCAGGCAGGACCUCCUCUCAUGUGGAAGGGAAGAAUCCUUUAGCCACACCAUCAGAACAUGAGGUCCUGAAAGGAGCUGCCUAGUCCCAGUGCUACUGAACAAAAGAGACAAGCAGGUUCCAACUCAGGAAGGAAUGCCGAUGAGUGCCACCAUAAAGCCACCUAGUUUAGUACUGAGUUUCAGUGGCUAGCACUGGGCUGGCUGCACAGAAGAGGCUGAAAAGACAUGUGCAUGAGGAAACAUGGAGACAAACGUAAUAGCUUAGGGUUUUCAUGAAGCAUUUACUUCAUGUCAGGAAAUAGCUGCAAGUAUUAGAGAACAAGAUCUAAUUUUGGCAACUACUGUUGAGGGCAGGUAUUAGCUUCCCCUGUGAUGAUUCUGAAUGCAAGAUCAAGUCCAGGGAAGAUAAGUACCUGGUCCAAAGGCCACGCUGUGCAGAGACCCCAGUUAGGUCUGUGUAGCUCCCAACCCUGUGCGUGUUCCAGAGAAUCUAGAGAAAUCUGACAGUGUAUUUUGUGGUACUGGGAAACUGACCUUUGCUAAGUCCCAUCUUCAUCAUAUCACACACCACUUAGAAAGGAGUUAUGACUUCUUGAAGCCUGGCACCAAAGCACCUUACACACCUCAGUGCCUAUGACUGCUAACCUAGCUCUCGAGCAAGCUUUAAUCAGGCUUUGGUGAAGGGGCAGGAGUGGGGGGAGGGGGACUGUCAAGUAUGUCUUCCUUAAACAGCACAAUAUAUACAUUUAUAUAGGAGAAUGCUUCAAAUCCGUAUUGAUGAUCAAGUGAUGACUUAGAGAAUCUACCCUCAGAAUAUGAGAUGCACAUACAUUACAAGCCAGGAAUAAACUGCUUCAUGUAAUGCUUAGGAGAAGUCUAACGUCUAAAUAGUACCAGAGUGGUGAAGACUCAUUUAGGUAUCUGCUUCUUCAACAAGCCCCUAGAAUGGGACUGGGAGGUGGGGAUGGAGACACAUGAAAGAAAAUGAUCAAGCACCGAUCUUCAAAGCUUAAAUAUAAAACCCAGGUCCUGUUAGAAAAUGCCAAUUGAUUGGAAAGCCUUAGAAAGUGAACAGAAAACUUGGGGCAUAAAACAGUUCAAGUUCAGCACAGUUUUGGCAAGGCAGUGAUGAAAGUCUAAAAGCAGUGAUAGUGUCAUCAAUCAGAUCCAUGGGCCUGUCCCACCAGCCACACUGAACAUCUAUUUUCUGCCAAUCAAAUCCAAGAGUGUGAAGGAUGUGAAAACUAAGCCCUAGCUUCCCACUCAUUAUUUACAGUGACUCUAACUCAAAUCCAUUCUCCCCCAUGAUUCCUGGACAUGAUGACUGUCGUAAAAAUAAUAAUAAUAAUAAUGCAACAGUGGCUAGUGGUGCAACUCAAUGGGAAGGCACUUGCCUAGCAUGUGCAGGGCCUUGAGUUCCAUCCUUAGCACAGAAAAGGAAGACUCCAAGCAAUGGUCCCCAAAGUUUUAAAUAUUUUCAG